CGUAGAGGCGCUGCACUCAUCUGAAGCUCUCUCCUCAGUCCUUGGAGUAUCAGCUUGGCGACGCACUCUACCUGCUUUUUUUUUUUUUUCUCUUUCUCUCUGAGGUUUUGUUUUUCCUAUUUAAGUGGCUGAGCUCUUCUCCACGGUUCCAGCAGACCUCAUGCAUUUUUAUUGCCAUCUGGAGAAUACCAACAGGUCUUAACAAGGGGGCUCUCGUUGUAAAAACUGCUUACCGCGGAGACGGACUUGGAGUCAACUCGACUCAUUUGACUGGAGCACCAGAGUUUGAUGGGCCAUCCCAGACGCCGGUUGACAUUUUGUCCCCAGUCCGACCGGAUGCCACAUAAAAAAUUCACUCAGGCGAGAAGCCAGGAGGAAUACCCAGCUCCCUCCACCCCCGGCGUGUGCCUCUCAGUGGGGAGUGCAAGGUGAGCAGAACUUGAGCUUGUCAUGGCUGCACGCCUCUGACAAACAUAAGUAGAUGCUAAUGGCAAAAUCGUGACAGAGCAGAGUCCCACCACCAUAUGGCUAAUUGCCACAACAAUAUCCUCUGUGUUAUUAA
rnacentral:lncRNA from 15 species